GAAAUAACUUCUAAGGUUAGGUUAUCAGGAACCGUACCGCAAACCGACACAGGCGGGCGAGAUUAGUAAUCCAAGGCGUACGGGAGAACUCGCGUUAAGGAACUCGGCAAAUUACAUACGUAACUUCGGAAAAAGUAUGGCCUAGCACAUAAUGGUGAGGUUGCAGAGUCCAAGUGGAAGCGACUGUUUAUCAAAAACAUAUGUCUSUGCUAACUCGUAAGAGGAUGUAUAGGGANUGACACCUGCCCGGUGCUGGUAGGUUAAGAGGAGCGGUUAGACUUAGGUUGAAGCUGCGAAUUGAAGCCCCAGUA
rnacentral:rRNA from 1 species